UACGUAGGGUGCGAGCGUUAAUCGGAAUUACUGGGCGUAAAGCGUGCGCAGGCGGUUUUGUAAGACAGAUGUGAAAUCCCCGGGCUCAACCUGGGAACUGCGUUUGUGACUGCAAGACUUGAGUACGGCAGAGGGGGGUAGAAUUCCACGUGUAGCAGUGAAAUGCGUAGAGAUGUGGAGGAAUACCGAUGGCGAAGGCAGCCCCCUGGGUCGAUACUGACGCUCAUGCACGAAAGCGUGGGGAGCAAACAGG
rnacentral:rRNA from 1 species